rnacentral:rRNA from 1 species
AUGAACGCUGGCGGCGUGCCUAAUACAUGCCAGUCGAGCGAACAGACGAGGAGCUUGCUCCUCUGACGUUAGCGGCGGACGGGUGAGUAACACGUGGAUAACCUACCUAUAAGACUGGGAUAACUUCGGGAAACCGGAGCUAAUACCGGAUAAUAUAUUGAACCGCAUGGUUCAAUAGUGAAAGACGGUUUUGCUGUCACUUAUAGAUGGAUCCGCGCCGCAUUAGCUAGUUGGUAAGGUAACGGCUUACCAAGGCAACGAUGCGUAGCCGACCUGAGAGGGUGAUCGGCCACACUGGAACUGAGCCACGGUCCAGACUCCUACGGGAGGCAGCAGUAGGGAAUCUUCCGCAAUGGGCGAAAGCCUGACGGAGCAACGCCGCGUGAGUGAUGAAGGUCUUCGGAUCGUAAAACUCUGUUAUUAGGGAAGAACAAAUGUGUAAGUAACUAUGCACGUCUUGACGGUACCUAAUCAGAAAGCCACGGCUAACUACGUG